GUUUGGUGCGGGUAAACCGCGUUGGCAAGGCUGGUAAAGCAAUCAAAGCAAUCGCUUUGUACCGUGGCAAGGA
rnacentral:SRP_RNA from 17 species